GAUGAACGCUGGCGGCGUGCCUAAUACAUGCAAGUCGAGCGAACGGACGAGAAGCUUGCUUCUCUGAUGUUAGCGGCGGACGGGUGAGUGACACGUGGAUAACCUACCUAUAAGACUGGGAUAACUUCGGGAAACCGGAGCUAAUACCGGAUAAUAUUUUGAACCGCAUGGUUCAAAAGUGAAAGACGGUCUUGCUGUCACUUGUAGAUGGAUCCGCGCUGCAUUAGCUAGUUGGUAAGGUAACGGCUUACCAAGGCAACGAUGCAUAGCCGACCUGAGAGGGUGAUCGGCCACACUGGAACUGAGACACGGUCCAGACUCCUACGGGAGGCAGCAGUAGGGAAUCUUCCGCAAUGGGCGAAAGCCUGACGGAGCAACGCCGCGUGAGUGAUGAAGGUCUUCGGAUCGUAAAACUCUGUUAUUAGGGAAGAACAUAUGUGUAAGUAACUGUGCACAUCUUGACGGUACCUAAUCAGAAAGCCACGGCUAACUACGUG
rnacentral:rRNA from 1 species